AACGAACGCUGGCGGCAGGCUUAACACAUGCAAGUCGAACGCAUCCUUCGGGGUGAGUGGCAGACGGGUGAGUAACGCGUGGGAACAUGCCCUUCAGUUCGGAAUAACCCAGGGAAACUUGGGCUAAUACCGGAUACGUGCGAGAGCAGAAAGAUUUAUCGCUGAAGGAGUGGCCCGCGUCUGAUUAGCUAGUUGGUGAGGUAAAGGCUCACCAAGGCGACGAUCAGCAGCUGGUCUGAGAGGAUGAUCAGCCACACUGGGACUGAGACACGGCCCAGACUCCUACGGGAGGCAGCGGUGGGGAAUAUUGGACAAUGGGCGCAAGCCUGAUCCAGCCAUGCCGCGUGAGUGAUGAAGGCCUUAGGGUUGUAAAGCUCUUUCGGCGGGGACGAUAAUGACGGUACCCGCAGAAGAAGCCCCGGCUAACUUCGUGCCAGCCGCCGCAGUAA
rnacentral:rRNA from 1 species